rnacentral:rRNA from 1 species
UACCAGCACCCCGAGUGGUCGGGACGAUUAUUGGGCCUAAAGCAUCCGUAGCCGGUUCUGCAAGUCCUCCGUUAAAUCCAGCUGCUCAACAGAUGGGCCGCGGAGGAUACUACAGAGCUAGGAGGCAGGAGAGGCAAGCGGUACUCAGUGGGUAGGGGUAAAAUCCGUUGAUCCAUUGAAGACCACCAGUGGCGAAGGCGGCUCGCCAGAACGCGCUCGACGGUGAGGGAUGAAAGCUGGGGAGCAAACCGG